AUGAAUGUUGGCGGCGUGUUUAAGGCAUGCAAGUCGAGCGACGUGUCCCCGCAAGGGGAUUACGAGCGGCAAACGGGUGAGUAACACAUUGGUAACCUGCCUUCAAGACGGGGACAGCUCUCCGAAAGGAGAAUUAAUACCCGAUGGUCAUGCGGGGUCAUAAGACAUUCGCAUGUAAAUGAAUUUCGCUUGAAGAGGGGCCUAUGGCUUAUCAGCUAGUUGGUAGGGUAACGGCCUACCAAGGCUAUGACGAGUACCGGGCGUGAGAGCGCGAUCCGGCUCACUGGGACUGAGACACUGCCCAGACUCCUACGGGAGGCUGCAGUCGAGAAUAUUCCGCAAUGGGGGAAACCCUGACGGAGCGACGCCGCGUGCAGGAAGAAACCCUUCGGGGUGUAAACUGCUUUUAUCGGGGACGAAUUAGUGACGGUACCCGAGGAAUAAGAGGUUGCUAACUCUGU
rnacentral:rRNA from 1 species